rnacentral:rRNA from 1 species
UACGAAGGGGGCUAGCGUUGCUCGGAAUCACUGGGCGUAAAGCGCACGUAGGCGGCUUCUUAAGUCAGGGGUGAAAUCCUGGAGCUCAACUCCAGAACUGCCUUUGAUACUGAGAGGCUCGAGUCCGGGAGAGGUGAGUGGAACUCCGAGUGUAGAGGUGAAAUUCGUAGAUAUUCGGAAGAACACCAGUGGCGAAGGCGGCUCACUGGCCCGGUACUGACGCUGAGGUGCGAAAGCGUGGGGAG